AGUGAACGCUGGCGGUAGGCCUAACACAUGCCAGUCGAACGGCAGCACAGUAAGAGCUUGCUCUUACGGGUGGCGAGUGGCGGACGGGUGAGGAAUACAUCGGAAUCUACUUUUUCGUGGGGGAUAACGUAGGGAAACUUACGCUAAUACCGCAUACGACCUACGGGUGAAAGCAGGGGAUCUUCGGACCUUGCGCGAUUGAAUGAGCUGAUGUCGGAUUAGCUAGUUGGCGGGGUAAAGGCCCACCAAGGCGACGAUCCGUAGCUGGUCUGAGAGGAUGAUCAGCCACACUGGAACUGAGACACGGUCCAGACUCCUACGGGAGGCAGCAGUGGGGAAUAUUGGACAAUGGGCGCAAGCCUGAUCCAGCCAUACCGCGUGGGUGAAGAAGGCCUUCGGGUUGUAAAGCCCUUUUGUUGGGAAAGAAAAGCAGCAGGUUAAUACCCCGCUGUUCUGACGGUACCCAAAGAAUAAGCACCGGCUAACUUCGUG
rnacentral:rRNA from 1 species